CAUAAGACUGGGAUAACUCCGGGAAACCGGGGCUAAUACCGGAUAACAUUUUGAACUGCAUGGUUCGAAAUUGAAAGGCGGCUUCGGCUGUCACUUAUGGAUGGACCCGCGUCGCAUUAGCUAGUUGGUGAGGUAACGGCUCACCAAGGCAACGAUGCGUAGCCGACCUGAGAGGGUGAUCGGCCACACUGGGACUGAGACACGGCCCAGACUCCUACGGGAGGCAGCAGUAGGGAAUCUUCCGCAAUGGACGAAAGUCUGACGGAGCAACGCCGCGUGAGUGAUGAAGGCUUUCGGGUCGUAAAACUCUGUUGUUAGGGAAGAACAAGUGCUAGUUGAAUAAGCUGGCACCUUGACGGUACCUAACCAGAAAGCCACGGCUAACUACGUGCCAGCAGCCGCGGUAAUACGUAGGUGGCAAGCGUUAUCCGGAAUUAUUGGGCGUAAAGCGCGCGCAGGUGGUUUCUUAAGUCUGAUGUGAAAGCCCACGGCUCAACCGUGGAGGGUCAUUGGAAACUGGGAGACUUGAGUGCAGAAGAGGAAAAUGGAA
rnacentral:rRNA from 1 species